rnacentral:rRNA from 1 species
UCGAGAAUUUUUCUCAAUGGGGGAAACCCUGAAGGAGCGACGCCGCGUGGAGGAUGAAGGUCUUCGGGUUGUAAACUCCUGUCAUUUGGGAACAAGUGCCGGUACGUAACUGCUACCGGCUUGAUAGUACCAGAAGAGGAAGGGACGGCUAACUCUGUGCCAGCAGCCGCGGUAAUACAGAGGUCUCAAGCGUUGUUCGGAUUCAUUGGGCGUAAAGGGUGUGUAGGUGGCGCCGUAAGUGGGGUGUGAAAUUUCGGAGCUUAACUCCGAAACUGCAUUCCAUACUGCGGUGCUUGAGGACUGGAGAGGAGACUGGAAUUUACGGUGUAGCAGUGAAAUGCGUAGAUAUCGUAAGGAAGACCAGUGGCGAAGGCGGGUCUCUGGACAGUUCCUGACACUGAGACACGAAGGCCAGGGGAGCAAACGGGAUUAGAUACCCCCGUAGUCC